GACGAACGCUGGCGGCGUGCUUAACACAUGCAAGUCGAACGGAAAUGCCCUGCUUUUGUGGGGUGCUCGAGUGUCGAACGGGUGAGUAACACGUGAGUAACCUGCCCUUUACUUUGGGAUAACUUCAGGAAACUGUGUCUAAUACCGGAUAGGAGCUCCUUCUGCAUGGUGGGUGUUUGAAAGUUUCGGCGGUUGGGGAUGGACUCUCGGCUUAUCAGCUUGUUGGUGGGGUAGUGGCUUACCAAGGCUUUGACGGGUAGCCGGCCUGAGAGGGUGACCGGCCACAUUGGGAAUGAGAUACGGCCCAGACUCCUACGGGAGGCAGCAGUGGGGAAUAUUGCACAAUGGGCGGAAGCCUGAUGCAGCAACGCAGCGUGCGGGAUGACGGCCUUCGGGUUGUAAACCGCUUUCGCCUGUGACGAAGCGUGAGUGACGGUAAUGGGUAAAGAAGCACCGGCUAACUACGUG
rnacentral:rRNA from 1 species